rnacentral:sRNA from 1 species
UUACUACAUCAGCCGAAUUCCCCGCACCUGGGAAACGGGGGAACCAAGUUAUGGGUGAAUUGACUCCACUGUCAGAGAGUCAUAGGGAACCUUCGACCGAAUCCUCAAGCUAACCUCGCAGGCCUUGGAAGGAGUUUUA